rnacentral:rRNA from 1 species
CCUACGGGUGACAGCAGUGGGGGAUAUUGCACAAUGGGGGGAACCCUGAUGCAGCGACGCCGCGUGAGCGAAGAAGUACCUCGGUAUGUAAAGCUCUAUCAGCAGGGAAGAAAAUGACGGUACCUGACUAAGAAGCCCCGGCUAAAUACGUGCCAGCAGCCGCGGUAAUACGUAUGGGGCAAGCGUUAUCCGGAUUUACUGGGUGUAAAGGGAGCGCAGGCGGCCUACCAAGUCUGGUGUGAAAACCCGCGGCCCAACCCCGGGCCUGCAUUGGAAACUGGCGGGCUGGAGUGUGGGAGGGGCAGGCGGAAUUCCUAGUGUAGCGGUGAAAUGCGUAGAUAUUAGGAGGAACACCGAUGGCGAAGGCGGCCUGCUGGACCAUGACUGACGCUGAGGCUCGAAAGCGUGGGUAUCAAACAGGAUUAGAUACCCGAGUAGUC